rnacentral:rRNA from 1 species
CCUACGGGAGGUAGCAGUGAGGAAUAUUGGUCAAUGGACGAGAGUCUGAACCAGCCAAGUAGCGUGAAGGAUGACUGCCCUAUGGGUUGUAAACUUCUUUUAUAUGGGAAUAAAAUGAUCCACGUGUGGCUUUUUGCAUGUACCUUAUGAAUAAGGAUCGGCUAACUCCGUGCCAGCAGCCGCGGUAAUACGGAGGAUCCGAGCGUUAUCCGGAUUUAUUGGGUGUAAAGGGAGCGUAGACGGCUAUUCAAGUCUGAAGUGAAAGUUUGGGGCUCAACCAUCAGACUGCGGUGGAAACUGGAGGGCUUGAGUGCAGGAGAGGUAGGCGGAAUUCGUGGUGUAGCGGUGAAAUGCUUAGAUAUCACGAAGAACACCGGUUGCGAAGGCAGCUUACUGGACUGUAACUGACGCUGAGGCUCGAAAGCGUGGGUAUCAAACAGGAUUAGAUACCCGAGUAGUC